rnacentral:rRNA from 1 species
GAAUUUUGGACAAUGGGCGAAAGCCUGAUCCAGCAAUGCCGCGUGCAGGAUGAAGGCCUUCGGGUUGUAAACUGCUUUUGUACGGAAGGAAAAGCUUUGGGUUAAUAUCCUGGGGUCAUGACGGUACCGUAAGAAUCAGCACCGGACAAAUACGUGCCAGCAGCCGCGGUAAUCAGUAGGGUGCAAGCGUUAAUCGGACUUACUGGGCGUAAAGCGUGCGCAGGCGGUUUUGUAAGACAGAGGUGAAAUCCCCGGGCUCAACCUGGGAACUGCCUGUGUGACUGCAAGGCUAGAGUACGGCAGAGGGGGGUGGAAUUCCGCGUGUAGCAGUGAAAUGCGUAGAUAUGCGGAGGAACACCGAUGGCGAAGGCAACCCCCUGGGCCUGUACUGACGCUCAUGCACGAAAGCGUGGGGAGCAAACA